rnacentral:tmRNA from 1 species
GGGGGCGAAACGGCUUCGACGGGGAUAAAGAAGCUUUAGGUGCAUGCCGAGCUCCGGCUGACUCGUAAAACCGGCUGGAACUAAAUUAUAAUCGCAGACGAUUAUCAAUACGCUGUAGCUGCUUAGGCGGCUUCCGUCCUGUCAUUGCUCUCUUGCGGCUCUGACAAGGGCGUCGACUUAGCGAGAUAGCAGACGCUUAAAUCCUGCUAAAGCAUCUGCGAAACUAAUGUAGGAUAGCCUUUUCAGUAUCCUGCCUGAUGGAGACUAGAAAAGGCGAAACAUAGAUAUCAGGAUAAGCAUGUAGACGCUAAAGUGGAUUGUUUUCGGACGCGGGUUCGACUCCCGCCGCCUCCACCA